GAUGAACGUUGGCGGCGUGCCUAAUACAUGCAAGUAGAACGCUGAAGGAGGAGCUUGCUCUUCUGGAUGAGUUGCGAACGGGUGAGUAACGCGUAGGUAACCUGCCUGGUAGCGGGGGAUAACUAUUGGAAACGAUAGCUAAUACCGCAUGACAACAGUUAUUGCAUGAUAACUGUUUAAAAGGGGCAACUGCUCCACUACCAGAUGGACCUGCGUUGUAUUAGCUAGUUGGUGAGGUAACGGCUCACCAAGGCGACGAUACAUAGCCGACCUGAGAGGGUGAUCGGCCACACUGGGACUGAGACACGGCCCAGACUCCUACGGGAGGCAGCAGUAGGGAAUCUUCGGCAAUGGACGGAAGUCUGACCGAGCAACGCCGCGUGAGUGAAGAAGGUUUUCGGAUCGUAAAGCUCUGUUGUAAGAGAAGAACGAGUGUGAGAGUGGAAAGUUCACACUGUGACGGUAUCUUACCAGAAAGGGACGGCUAACUACGUG
rnacentral:rRNA from 1 species